GACGAACCGUGCGAACGUUAUUCGGAAUCACUGGGCUUAAAGCGCGUGUAGGCGGGAGGGCACGUCCGUCGCUGAAAUCCCCCGGCUCAACCGGGGAACGGGCACGGAUACGACCUUCCUGGAGGGGCGUAGGGGGACCUGGAACUUCCGGUGGAGCGGUGAAAUGCGUUGAGAUCGGAAGAAACGCCCGUGGCGAAAGCGAGGUCCUGGACGCCUACUGACGCUGAGACGCGAAAGCCAGGGGAGCGAACGGG
rnacentral:rRNA from 1 species